rnacentral:rRNA from 1 species
UACGUAGGGUGCAAGCGUUAAUCGGAAUUACUGGGCGUAAAGCGUACGCAGGCGGUUCGUUGUGUCGGCGGUGAAAGCCCCGGGCUUAACCUGGGAAUGGCCGUUGAAACUGGCGAACUGGAGUGUGGCAGAGGGGGGUGGAAUUCCGCGUGUAGCAGUGAAAUGCGUAGAGAUGCGGAGGAACACCGAUGGCGAAGGCAGCCCCCUGGGCUAACACUGACGCUCAGGCACGAAAGCGUGGGGAGCAAACAGG